rfam:Ancylostoma ceylanicum strain HY135 Acey_s0001_scaf, whole genome shotgun sequence.
CCAACGGCCCUCUUUAGGGCCACAAUUACACACGAAUACUCAAAUG